rnacentral:tmRNA from 1 species
GGGAGCGACUUGGCUUCGACAGGAGUAAGUCUGCUUAGAUGGCAUGUCGCUUUGGACAAAGCGUAAAAAGUCCAAAUUAAAAUUAAACGCAAAUAACGUUAAAUUCGCUCCUGCUUACGCUAAAGCUGCGUAAGUUCAGUUGAGCCUGAAAUUUAAGUCAUACUAUCUAGCUUAAUUUUCGGUCAUUUUUGAUAGUGUAGCCUUGCGUUUGACAAGCGUUGAGGUGAAAUAAAGUCUUAGCCUUGCUUUUGAGUUUUGGAAGAUGAGCGAAGUAGGGUGAAGUAGUCAUCUUUGCUAAACAUGUAGAAGUCUUUGUGGGGUUAUUUUUGGACAGGGGUUCGAUUCCCCUCGCUUCCACCA